UACGUAGGGUGCAAGCGUUGUCCGGAAUUAUUGGGCGUAAAAGAGCUCGUAGGCGGUUUGUUGCGUCGGCUGUGAAAUCCCGAGGCUCAACCUCGGGUCUGCAGUCGAUACGAGCAAAACUAGAGUGUUGCAGGGGAGACUGGAAUUCCUGGUGUAGCGGUGAAAUGCGCAGAUAUCAGGGAGGGAACACCCGGUGGGCGAAAGGCGGGGUCUCUGGGGCAAC
rnacentral:rRNA from 1 species